GGGUGAGUAAUAUAUCGGAACGUACCCUGGAGUGGGGGAUAACGUAGCGAAAGUUACGCUAAUACCGCAUACGAUCUAAGGAUGAAAGCAGGGGACCGCAAGGCCUUGUGCUCCUGGAGCGGCCGAUAUCUGAUUAGCUAGUUGGUGGGGUAAAGGCCCACCAAGGCAUCGAUCAGUAGCUGGUCUGAGAGGACGACCAGCCACACUGGAACUGAGACACGGUCCAGACUCCUACGGGAGGCAGCAGUGGGGAAUUUUGGACAAUGGGCGAAAGCCUGAUCCAGCAAUGCCGCGUGAGUGAAGAAGGCCUUCGGGUUGUAAAGCUCUUUUGUCAGGGAAGAAACGGUGGAGGCUAAUAUCCUUUGCUAAUGACGGUACCUGAAGAAUAAGCACCGGCUAACUACGUGCCAGCAGCCGCGGUAAUACGUAGGGUGCAAGCGUUAAUCGGAAUUACUGGGCGUAAAGCGUGCGCAGGCGGUUUUGUAAGUUUGUCGUGAAAUCCCCGGGCUCAACCUGGGAAUGGCGAUGAAGACUGCAAGGCUAGAGUUUGGCAGAGGGGGGUAGAAUUCC
rnacentral:rRNA from 1 species